rnacentral:rRNA from 1 species
UGGGGAAUAUUGCACAAUGGGCGAAAGCCUGAUGCAGCGACGCCGCGUGCGGGAUGAAGGCCUUCGGGUUGUAAACCGCUUUUAAUUGGGAGCAAGCGAGAGUGAGUGUACCUUUUGAAUAAGCACCGGCUAACUACGUGCCAGCAGCCGCGGUAAUACGUAGGGUGCAAGCGUUAUCCGGAAUUAUUGGGCGUAAAGAGCUCGUAGGCGGUUUGUCACGCCUGGUGUGAAAGUCCAUCGCUUAAAGGUGGAUCUGCGCCGGGUACGGGCAGGCUAGAGUGCAGUAGGGGAGAUUGGAAUUCCCGGUGUAACGGUGGAAUGUGUAGAUAUCGGGAAGAACACCAAUGGCGAAGGCAGAUCUCUGGGCUGUUACUGACGCUGAGGAGCGAAAGCAUGGGGAGCGAACAGGAUUAGAUACCCUGGUAGUCCAUGCCGUAAACGGUGGAUGCUGGAUGUGGGGCCCUUCCACGGGCUCCGUGUCGGAGCUAACGCGUUAAGCAUCCCGCCUGGGGAGUACGGCCGCAAGGCUAAAACUCUAAAGUGAAUUGACGGGGUC